rnacentral:rRNA from 1 species
GGCCCAACCCCCCUGGGGAGGGAGCCGUCGAAGGUGGGACUGGCGAUUGGGACGAAGUCGUAACAAGGUAGCCGUACCGGAAGGUGCGGCUGGAUCACCUCCUUUCUAAGGAGCA